CAGUGUGUGUGAUGAGGACUAACAGCUGCCAGUCUGACAGCAGCGGCUUCCUGGAAGAGCCCUUCAUCCCUUCCAUUACCCAGCAUCCCUCACCUGGACCCGAGCUCAUGAAGGUUACACGGAUAACAUUCUAGAAGUGCAACAAUCUAGGCGUGUUACUUUAAGUUAUUGCUACUAACUUAUAUACUUCACCAGCCCAAAUUAUUAAAAUAUAUUAUUGAAUUGAUAUUCUGUCUAUUUCAUGGUGCACAAUUUAAGAGGUCAUUCAUUAAUUUAAACUGACAGUGUUUGGUUGUUGUUUAAAGGCUUUGUCGGGAAUAUCUGGAGGCAGCACUGACAGCCAGAUCACUGUAAAAGGAGCUUCACCCCCCUCGUCCCCCCCAUCCACUUCCCUGGACCCUUCCCCUCCUUCCCUCUCCAUGUGCCACCCAAGACCCGAGUCUCCUCUAUACAGACCAGAGACAACAAGCCCUACAGAGGAGACACCCAGACACCAGGAUUCCCCCACACCCCACUCCCUCCUCUCUGAUGCCUUGGAGAUGACUAACUCUGCUUUUGGAGCCAGGCCAAGCCUAAUGGAAAACACUGUCACUGAGGAAGAUGGAUUCUCUUCGGCCUGCGGUUCACCUUGUCAUAAGCCAGACUCUCCGUUACGGCACGUUAUUAUUAUCAUGAAAACAGAUAGAGAAACAGAACACUUUACUGUGGAAUCAGAGGAAGCUGUUCCAAUAGGAGGAGAGGAAAAGGACAUAGCGGAACAAAGUGGCAAUGUUCAGACAGGAACAGAGGCUGUUGGUGAUCAGGACACCGAUUGUUAUGGGUCACAUGAAGGCUCUCGGAUGAACUCGGUAGCUCUAGUGCAGAUGAAGAAAGAGACGGAGAUGAAGACGAAAGUACAGAUUAGUUCUGGUUUGGAAGGUCCAGUGUUGGGUCCUGUUGCUGUUCCUGAGGUGGUGAAUCAAGGCUCUGAGACUGGAUUUGUUUGUCAGGACCGGUACUCUGAAGAUCCUCUAUUAGGAUCUGACCCUAACUUCUCAGCAGUGCUAAGCCCUGCCUCCUCUCUCCCCCCAGCAGAGCCUCUCCCUGCCUCCUCUCUCCCCCCAGCAGAGCCUCUCUCUGCCUCCCCACCCCCAGUGCACUGGGAAACAGGUGGCUCAAAGAUUUCAGAGGGAUCCUCAAGCUUGGUUGUCCAAGAGCCUGUCCCACCACUAUAUCAACCAGCAGACCCAUCAACAGACCCACCUCCAGGCCCAGCUUUAACCUCACCUUCAGAGCAAGUGUCAUCUCCAUCCCCACCACCAUCUCUAUCCCCAGCCUCAUGGCCACACCAACCUCCAGCCUCAGCUUUUCCGGCAGCAUCCAGCUCAUCUCCAACCCAAGCCCAUUCCCCAAUCCCAAACCAUUCUCUAUCAGCCCUAACCACAACACCAACCCCAUCCUCAAUUCCAAACUCACCAUCAGCCCAUUCCUUAACCGUAGCUCCAUCUCAAGCCCCAACUCCACUCGUCCCCCACAGUGGUGCUUUCAGGUCAGGCCGGUCUGUGUCUGUCCAGAUGCCCUCCUCCCUGCCCUCUGUCUCCCACUCUGCCCUCCGGAGAGGUGGCGUCCCCCACACCCCCUCCCCGCUCGGCCCUUCCUUCGAGCCCCGCCCCCUGACUGACCUGGUGCUUCGGCAGAGGCGGAACUCCUUCUCCAGGAAGGCGUGGUCAGAUGCUGAUGUCUCCCACUUUGCAGAACACAGAAACACUGCGGUUGCCAUGGGAAAAGCAGUCAUGACACCUGAGAUGAUAUCCCUCCCGUCCCCCGUCCCCUCCCCCUCCCUGUCAUCGUCCAAUCGGUGGCUGUCUCGCGACGGUUCACGAAGAUCCGGAAGUUUCCAGAUGAAGUCCACCUCCUUGGACACGGGGCUGUGGCAGGAGGAUGAAGAAGUGGGGGAUGAGGAUAGACGGUGGGAACGAGCACUGUUCUCUGGGCUUUCCUGCUGCUGCUCCUGUGAUAACCGCUGUAGCUGCUGUUCUCAGAACAAUCACCUCAAACCAUUCUCCGUUUCAGCUUUCCCUUAUUCCCUGGAUGAGCUGGAGGGGAUGAUGCACUGUAUGAGGAAGUUCCGCUGCGUCCUGACAGACAUCGAGGAACAGCUGUCAGAAGACCAGGCCUCGGUGUACAGCUCACUCUCUGACACUGACAGAGAGGAAGUGCGAGACAUCUUGGAGCUGAGGAAAGCUGUGAAACAGGAAGCAGGAGAGUUGGAACUGCAGCUCACUGACCUGGUUCAUCGCUAUGACGACAGCUUCAAAAUGAAGAUGCACAGACUACUCGAUGAACAAUCUCACCUCUACACCCAGCUAAGGCUGAUCCCCACGACCACAUCCACCCCUGGCUCCGCCUCCUCUAGGAGCAUGGCCACUCAGUGCUGCCUGCUGCCCUGGCUGCCUUUGACGGACAUGUCCAGGCCACGCCCCUCAUCGCAGGCCACCUGGGAUUUGGAGUCCAGAUCAGCACUGCCAGAUUCCAGUUCUAUGGACCAGAGGCUAAACCAUGGUUCUACCGGCACCAAGCCAGACAAACUGGACAUUGUGGGUUUCAUCCAGAGACUGAAGGAGUCCAUACGCCACUCUGUCAAUACUGACUCACUGGAGUAAAAGAGAGAUGCUGCUUCUGCUGUAGCUAACUGAAAAUGAUCUGCUGUCUAAGUUAGUGUGUCCAAUCAACCUGGACUCGGGUAGAUGUAACAUAAUAAACGUAAAUCUGUCUCCCUCCAGUUAGUAUGAUAUGUUAGGUGUGGUAAGGUAUGUAUUUCUUUGUGGAUGUCCAUCAUCCAUUUCUUAUGUUAUAAAUAACAAUUCAUAUGAUAUGUUACGAAUUGCAAUUUGUACAAUAUGUUACGAAUUUGCGAUUAAGUAUGAUAUGUCACAAAUUCCAGUUUGAUGUGGCUAACCCUAACAUUAAAGUAGCUAACGUUAACUAGGCUAAGGGUUAGCUAACAUGCUAAGUAGUUGCAAAAAGUAGUACGUUUCAAAAUAGCUAAUUAGCCUAAAUGCUCAAGUUGUCCGUGAUGAGAUCGGAAGACGCAACCUUAGAGAUGCUAGAAGUUUGCAUUAUAUGCCCACCUAUCCAUCCAUCCCGACCCACCACCCUCCUUUCGUUUUUGCCACCCUCCUUUCGUUUUUGCCUUAUGUAACCUUACCAAACAUACCAUAUCGUAUUCAUUUGAGUGUCCUGGAUUUACGUUGACUAUGUCUAGUCUAUGAAACCAGGCUGGUGUAAUCAAUGGAUUCUAUUACUCCUAAAGUAGUCCAGUGUCCACACAGUGAAUAAAGAGCAUGAAUGCAUGAAAUCAUGUGUGCUUGUUCUAUAACGUGCCGAUCCAAUGCAUAACAUACUGUACAAAGAGUUUAUUUGUGUGUAUUGUCAUUCCCUACGUAUCAACAACAGCAUUCGUCUCAACUAAGGAUGUGUUCUUAUUCCUUAUUGUAACAUGAAGUCUCCUACUGUUACCUACCUGCAUCAAUGCUCUGGGUAAGACAGUUCCCCAUCCACAUGAGAUCCAUGCAGUAUGUGUAUGCUAUAGAGAGGAGCUCUUAUGUGUCACCCUCCUGCUCUGGGUUAUGUCAUUAUUAGCACAAAGAAAAAAAAAUGUACAUUUUUUUUUUAAUUGCAAUACAGCCUACGGUAUAUAGAGCCCCACAGUGGAAGUGUCAUAAUACCCAUAAACCUAACGGUCAAACAGGGAGUCACCUUGUCCUUGACAGAUUUAGAUUGUUAUCAAAACGCCACGCCAGGGUAAGCCUACACAACACAGCUCUUAUUUUAAGUGUUUGUAAAAUCCCCUAUGGGAAAAAUGAAUGAAUGGUGGAAAAACGAUUGCAACCAUUUCCUUGUUUGACUGCUAGGUUUUAUGGGUAUUAUGACUCAUACUGUGGUACUCUAUUGGGCCUAAAUGAAUUCUAGUUACUUUUGAAGCAAAUGUUGUGCCCUAGAAAGUAAUAUGUUUAUUAUAAAAUGUUGAAGUCAUUUGUGGAAUAUUACGUUUCUACGUUGUGUAAAAGCACUAUUUUCCUACUGAGAUGCAUUACAUAGAUAAUUGCACACUUUCCCUUCAAAAAGGUCAGGUUUGUGAUGGCAAAGUUCAAGAGAUCUGUCAUUCAACAUUGUGCUUUCAAGACAACCGGGGAAAAAACUAAGUCUAAUCAUGACGUCAGUAAUCUUCAAGUCGGAGCUCUGGAAAGUAAGUAUGGUAGCUGCAGCCCAAUCGAACCCCACAGUGGAGGUGUCAUAAUACACAUAGUGGUCAAACAGGUAAAUGGUUUAAAUCAUUUUUCCACCAUUAAUUUUUCCCAUAGGGAAUUUUAGAAACACUGUUUUGUGUAUGCUUACCAUAGCAUGACAUUUGAUAACCAUGUAAAUCUCUCCCAGACAAAGUGACUAAUCAAUAUAUUCGGCCCAAUUUACUCAGAUUUGAAAAUACUAAUUAGCAUCAAAGUAGACAUCAUGCAAGACUACAAAUCCCUGCAAGCUCCUGCAUGUCAUCUCUAUCUGACAUAUUUGCUAACAGAUAGUGUCAAUUCAAAACUUGCACAAGACAGUUCACAAAAUGUAAUUUAAAGACGUAUAGCCAAUUUAUUAAUUACUACAUUUAGCUAACAUUAGACAGUUAAUCCAGAGAUUCUUACCUUUGCCUCGAUUUGGCAGUCUUGUGUUAUGCUGACUGCAGAAAUGUCCACCGGAGGUGUUGCCAAAUAAUUCAAUGUUAAUUUCUCUACCAUAAGCCGCCUCCAAUGUUGUUUUAGAGAAUUUGGCAGUAUGUCCAACGGGCCUCACAACCACAGUCCACAUGUACCCACGCCAGCCCAGGACUUCCACAUCUGGCUUCUUCAACUGCGGGAUCGUCUGAGACCAGCCACCCAGACAGCUGAUGAAAUUGUGGGUUUGCUCAACCAAAGAAUUUCUGCACAAACUGUCAGAAACCAUCUCAGGGAAGCUCAUCUGCGUUCUCGUCGUCCUCACCAGGGUCUUGACCUGACUGCAGUUCGGCAUCAUAACCAACUCGGUGUCGUGUGGCUCAGUUGGCAGAGCAUGGUGUUUGCAAUGCCAGGGUUGUGGGUUCGAUUCCCACGGGGGACCAGUACGGAGAACAUUUUUUAUGAAAUGUAUGCAUUCACUACUGUAAGUCGCUCUGGCUAAGAGCAUCUGCUAAAUGACUAAAAUGUAAAAAUGUAAACUUCAGUGGGCAUAUGCUUACUUUCGAUGGCCACUGGCACACUGGAGAAGUGUGACCUUCAUGGAUGAAUGCCGGCGUCAACUGUACCAGGCAGAUGGCAGAAAGCGUGUAUGGUGUCGUGUGGGGGAGCAGUUUGCUGAAGUCAAUGCUGUGAACAGAGUGCCCCAUGGUGGCGGUGUGGUUAUAGUAUGGGCAGGCAUAGGGUACGGACAAUGAACGCAAUUGCAUUUUAUCGAUGGCAAUUUGAAUGCCAUUGUGGUGAAGGUAGGAAACAACAUCUCCACUUCUCUGACCCUCAACACUGGGGACCCACAAGGGUGCGUGCUCAGCCCCCUCCUGUACUCCCUGUUCACCCAUGACUGCGUGGCCAUGCACGCCUCCAACUCAAUCAUCAAGUUUGAAGAACAACAGCGACGAAACAGACUACAGGGAGGAGGUGAGGGCACUCAGUGUGGUGUCAGGAAAACAACUUCUCACUCAACGUCAACAAAACAAAGGAGAUGAUCGUGGACUUCAGGAAACAGCAGAGGGAGCACCCCCCUAUCCACAUCGAAGGGACAGCAGUGGAGAAGGUGGAAAGUUAAGUUCUUUGGUGUACACAUCACAGACAAACUGAAAUGGUCCACUCACACACAGUGUUGUGAAGAAACCUCAGGAGGCUGAAGAAAUUGGGCUUGUCACCCAAAACCAUGACAAACUUUUACAGAUGCACAAUCGAGAGCAUCCUGUCGGGCUGUAUCACAGCCUGGUACGGCAACUGCACUUCCUUCAACCGCAAGGCUUUCGAGAGGGUGGUGCGGUCUGCACAACGCAUCACCAGGGGCAAAAUUCCUGCCCUCCAUGACAGCUACAGCACCCGAUGUCACAGGAAGGCCAAAAAGAUCAUCAUGGACAUCAACCACCCGAGCCACUACCUGUUUACACAGCUACCAUCCAGAAGGCGAGGUCAGUACAGGUGCAUGAAAGCUGGGACCGAGAGACUGAAAAACAGCUUCUAUCUGAAGGCCAUCAGACUGCUAAACAGCAAUCACUAACUCCGAGUCUGCUGCCUACAUUAAACCCAAUCACUGGCCACUUUAAUAAAUGGAUCACUAGUCACUUUAUUCAAUGUACUCUAAAUAAUGCCACUUUAAUAAUGUUCACAUAUCUUACAUUACUCAUAUCACAUGUACAUACUGUAUUUUAUACCAUCUAUUGCACAUUGCCUAUGCCGCUCAGCCAUCGCUCAUCCAUAUACUUAUAUGUACAUAUUUUCAUUCACCCCUUUAGAUUUGUGUAUAUUAGGUAGUUGUUGGGGAAUUCUUAGAUUUCUUGUUAGAUAUUACUGCACUGUUGGAACUAGAAGCACAAGCAUUUCGCUACACUCACAUUAACAUCUGCUAACCAUGUGUAUGUGACAAAUACAAUUUGAUUUGUACACACUUCCUGGAAGCUGAAAUACGACUCAAACUCACCCUCUGGCUUAAAAGCAGAAGUCUAAACUCUAGUGGUACUGUACCUCAAUGUAUAUUAGUUGAGUGGUAAGAAACGGAAGGAGAAAAAAAACAAGGUGCUUUCGACAAACCCACUCCUUUCCACACUUGCACUUCUUUCCUUUCGAUGCACUCACACUCCGGUAACCAUAUUGGUAUAUAUGGUGUUAAUUCAGAUUCAAAAGUUGAACAGCUGCGAUAUGGCGCCCGUGCCUAAAAUUAAACAUAAUUGCGGGAGCAAACAAUUGAGAGAAGAACUGUGGUCGAGUGAGCAGAGGACGGUGACGCGAGUGCAGGCUAGCGUGGUGCGGGCAAAUUAAACUUGAGAGCUUGCAAGUGUGAAUGAGCGAGCAGUACUGCAUUUCUGCAUCUAGUA
ensembl:lncRNA